rnacentral:rRNA from 1 species
GCAAUUAUACCGUGAAACUGCGAAUGGCUCAUUAAAUCAGUUAUCGUUUAUUUGAUAGUACCUUACUACUUGGAUAACCGUGGUAAUUCUAGAGCUAAUACAUGCUAAAAACCCCGACUUCGGGAGGGGUGUAUUUAUUAGAUAAAAAACCAACGCCCUUCGGGGCUCCUUGGUGAUUCAUAAUAACUUAACGGAUCGCAUGGCCUUGCGCCGGCGACGGUUCAUUCAAAUUUCUGCCCUAUCAACUUUCGAUUGUAGGGUAUUGGCCUACAAUGGUUUCAACGGGUAACGGGGAAUUAGGGUUCGAUUCCGGAGAGGGAGCCUGAGAAACGGCUACCACAUCCAAGGAAGGCAGCAGGCGCGCAAAUUACCCAAUCCCGACACGGGGAGGUAGUGACAAUAAAUACUGAUACAGGGCUCUUUUGGGUCUUGUAAUUGGAAUGAGUACAAUUUAAACCCCUUAACGAGGAACAAUUGGAGGGCAAGUCUGGUGCCAGCAGCCGCGGUAAUUCCAGCUCCAAUAGCGUAUAUUAAAGUUGUUGCAGUUAAAAAGCUCGUAGUUGAACCUUGGGCCUGGCUGGCCGGUCCGCCUCACCGCGUGCACUGGUCCGGCCGGGCCUUUCCUUCUGGAGAGCCGCAUGCCCUUCACUGGGUGUGUCGGGGAACCAGGACUUUUACUUUGAAAAAAUUAGAGUGUUCAAAGCAGGCCUUUGCUCGAAUACGUUAGCAUGGAAUAAUAGAAUAGGACGUGCGGUCCUAUUUUGUUGGUUUCUAGGACCGCCGUAAUGAUUAAUAGGGAUAGUCGGGGGCAUCAGUAUUCAAUUGUCAGAGGUGAAAUUCUUGGAUUUAUUGAAGACUAACUACUGCGAAAGCAUUUGCCAAGGAUGUUUUCAUUAAUCAGUGAACGAAAGUUAGGGGAUCGAAGACGAUCAGAUACCGUCGUAGUCUUAACCGUAAACUAUGCCGACUAGGGAUCGGGCGAUGUUAUUAUUUUGACUCGCUCGGCACCUUACGAGAAAUCAAAGUUUUUGG